UACGUAGGGUGCAAGCGUUAAUCGGAAUUACUGGGCAUAAAGCGUGCGCAGGCGGUUAUGCAAGACAGAUGUGAAAUCCCCGGGCUUAACCUGGGAACCGCAUUUGUGACUGCAUAGCUGGAGUACGGCAGAGGGGGAUGGAAUUCCGCGUGUAGCAGUGAAAUGCGUAGAUAUGCGGAGGAACACCGAUGGCGAAGGCAGUCCCCUGGGCCUGUACUGACGCUCAUGCACGAAAGCGUGGGGAGCAAACAGG
rnacentral:rRNA from 1 species